rnacentral:tRNA from 1 species
GCCUCCCUGUGGCUCAGAGCAUGGUGUUUGCAACGCCAGGGUUGUGGGUUCGAUUCCCAUGGGGGGCC